rnacentral:rRNA from 1 species
UACGAAGGGGGCUAGCGUUGCUCGGAAUUACUGGGCGUAAAGGGCGCGUAGGCGGACAGUUUAGUCAGAGGUGAAAGCCCGGGGCUCAACCUUGGAAUUGCCUUUGAUACUGGCUGUCUUGAGUUCGGGAGAGGUGAGUGGAAUGCCGAGUGUAGAGGUGAAAUUCGUAGAUAUUCGGCGGAACACCAGUGGCGAAGGCGACUCACUGGCCCGAUACUGACGCUGAGGCGCGAAAGCGUGGGGAGCAAACAGG